CCAUGGAUCAGCAGAGAACAAAGAGAGUCUGAAUAUGAGUUGAAAAUGGACAAAGCCAAAUUAAAUUUUGUUUGAUUCUUCCGAUUUGUAUUAUUUCUAAUAUGGUUUAUUGUUUAAUAUUAUUUCAUUAGAUUGCUGUCAAACUAAGCCCAAAUUUUGUGAUGAUUUAAAGCCCUGAAGUGGAUGCAUUGAUGGUGUAAGCUAAGUUAACAAAUUUACAAGUUCAUUUGACUUUAUAAGUCCCCAUUUAUUUAAAUAUGUUAUGUUGAUACAUCUUGUUUCUAUUUCUUUCAUUGUUUGAACAGAGAAAAUCAUCCACAGAAGAAAAAAGAAAAAAAAACCCUCUGAGCUGAAUCCUGGAUCCUGUGUUUAAAUGUUCACUCAGUAGAAGAUGUUCAAUGAGCCGGCAUCAGCUUCAGCAUAAUCUGUUACACCUGUGUAUGGGGUAAGUUGAGCCGUAUCCCUACUACCUACCCCAGCCCUCCCUCACCUUCUCUCUCCCUAAAUAACAGUCACUUUUUCACAUUCAUGUCUAUUUUUAUCUAUUACACGCUAUUCAACUGAUGCAAUAAUUCUUUUUAUUAUGAUCACAUAUAACUGCUAAAAAGCUGUUUUGUAAGAAAAAAAAGCCAUUUUAACAUGAGAAUGCCUUUGAGUGAUUCAGAACAUUCACAGCUGUAUUUUUGAAAAGAAAAAGUAACACAUUUCAACAAUCUGAACUGAAACUAUGAUCCUCUCAUCAGACUCCUUUACUUUCUCAGUUGAGCCACUGGCUCAACUUACCCCAGAACUACUAUUGUGACUUUAUUAGUCCUCUAAGCUAAAAUGGUGGACUUUUAUGCUAGGUUUUAGACCUCAUGUUGUCGCUCAUAGAUACCACGAUUGAUGUAUAAAACAAAUUUAAAAUGAUCUUUUUUGGUAUGAACACAAUCCUAAUAAAAAUUAUGACGGAGAUGGGGGUGGCUGAACUUACCCCACUCUCCCCUAUAUACUGUAUAUCAGGUACAUUGUAUGUAAGAAAAAAAUGUAUAAAAGCCAAAUUUGCUAAACUAUUUUUUUAUUCAUUUUAAAAUAGCAAUGCAGUUUAUAAUUUUGCCUGGGUGGUGCAAUAAUCUUUUCAUGGAGUCCAUAAUUUUUUAUGACAACCCAUGGUACACUGAUCACUCACUGGCCUGUUGUCAUCUAAAACAACUUUAAAACUGCUCAGACAAGACUCUUAAGAUGGCCAUAUCUUGCACAUUCCAAAAUUUAGCCAAACAGCACCUCUAAAAGUACCUCGAAAUGUAUUUUAACCAUGAUCUUCAGCUUAACAGUAAACAUGUAGACCUUGUUUGUCAAGAUGUCACAUAAAAUGUUAACAGCCAAAGUCUAUUUGGCUGAAAAACAUAUCUUUUGCUCACAGAUAUGUAUCCACUUACAUUGUACUUUUAGGGGUUACCCAAAUUACUUAUUUUUAUUUAUUUAUUUAUUUAUUUUUUCUGGGGGUUGUCAAUAGGAAUAUUUGACAAAAGAAAGGGUCAUUGCCAAGUUUCUGCCAUGCUUGAGUGAUUCGAAUGUUUUUGGUUGAACAUUUGUCUUGAAGAAAUUUUGUGAUCGCUUGACAUAAUUUUUGUUUUCAAACACUCUUUACAUAUAAAGUGUAGUCCUGGUGUGUGGGUAUGCUUAUGACAAAGUUUAGCUCCACACAAACGGCUCCUUUUUUCAAAUAUUAUCAUUUUAAUCCGAGCCAUUGUCAGUUCACAUCAGAGAUGACCACAGCCUGAUUUCAGUGAGACGCAGAUUUACACCCACUCACUUACCUCCACCUCCCUCUUCCCCUCCUACUCUUCCUCAUCAACUGUAUAGUUCCUCAAAUCUUCUAUUGCAUCUGUCCUAACCUAUUUCUGUCGUCCAUCCCUGCUUUAUUAUUUCUUCACCAAUGACUUGUAAUGACAGAAAAAAAUCCCUGAUCUCAGCACGAAGAAACUGUAGAUGCUUGUUUGGUCUCUAAGAAGUGUAAUGUGUUUUCCGUUGUGUCACGAUGUAGCAUUUGUGAGUUGUGUUUACCGUCUGGCCCGUGGGAGGGGAUGCCACUUUUUUUUCCAGAUCAGAGAGAGAUGUAAUCUCAAAGCAGAGCAGCUCCAGUUGGCAAAUGCUUCUGUGUGUGUGGUGUUUUUCUGUUAGUGCAUAUAUUAAUGUAUUUCAGUAACAUCACAUAGCUUCAAAGCUCUACUAGUCAGCAAGUAACAUGCCAAUUAAGGUUAUUUCAUAUCAGGCAUACUCAUAGACAUACCCCUACUGUUGGUCUUCAAAAUUCACUCACACCUUAUAAAUAGAGCUUUGUAGAUCGACCAUUACAUGCACUUAUCUUUUCUCAACUUUAUUUCCCCCCCUCUAGCUAUUUUUAAUCAGCAGGAAAAUAUCAGAACACUGUGUCCCCCCCUGUGAGAUGGUUUCCCUGUAGUGCAGACAUCCUGGCAACAACAUGUUUGAUAUUUUGUUGUUCCAGGCCAAAUCAGAAAUUAGCAGGCGUGCCAGAGUUCUUUGGCAGCGAUGUUGUGGCAAAAGAUGUGGGGAAAACAAAAAUGACCAAGGACAAAGAUAAGCUGGAAAUGGGACAACAGCGGGGUGGUCGGAUGCAAGAAACUUCUGGUGAUUGGUUUUGAUCGUCAGAUCAGUAAAAGAGUAUUCGAAGUGACAAGACAGGAGGGAAGGAAAAUAGGCUGAUUUUUGAAUACUUUUUUGAGUACAUAUAUGAGUAUCUACAGUGAGAGACUAAUAUUUAUUACAAACACACUUACUCAGGGCUUGUCAUUAUUAUACUAUAUAACUAAUAUUUCUUUUGCAUAUUUGACUGAUGUUUCUAAAUAUAUCCAAUUAUCUGCAUGGUUAUGCAUGAUGUCAAGUUGAUAGUCUUUGCUCAACCUUGGAGCUCUGUGACUCAGAGGAAUUAGCUUUAACAAGCUUUGACUGUGGAAAAACAUUUGACACAAUUAUUGUUCCUUUUUUUUUUACGAGACUUGUUUAGCAUGCAAAUAAAACCGUGUUGUUAGCCCUUAUCUGUAAGUCCUGACGGUCUUUACCACUUGAAAUAGAAAUUGCCUUUGAUGGUGUUUGACUAAUUUACAGAGACAAACAUGCCUUUAAAUGUUAAAUUGAGUAAUUUAAGCUAAUCAGUGAGGGGGCAUUUAAUGGGCUUUGUAUGAGUGUCUGGGUCUUCUCACAUUAUUGUUCCAUUUGUAGCAUAACAAGCCACUCACAGAAAAUGAAUUCAGAAGCCUUAGGUGCCACAUAAAUCAACUCACCUAUUCAAACUUAAACACAAUGAUAACCAAACAAGUGUAUUCAACAUUGUGAUCUUUCUGUAUAGCUCUCUUUCAAACUCCUCUAAAAAAGAAAGAGAAAAACUUAUGAUUUUUCAAGCUUGAGGAUGGCAGUCAUGACUUCUACUGAUGUCUGACUUCUGGUGGUGAAUGAGCAAUAAGAUGAAGAUGAGGGCCCAUGGUAUCCAGCUAAUGUUCAGCUUAGCUGCUCAGCUAAUAGGCUUGUCCUUUUUUAUUCAAAAUUUGAACCAUCAUUUGAACUUUUUGGUAAAAGUUAAUGUUCCAACUGUAAUAAGCCUUUCAAACUCAGGAUAAUACAGUACAUCAGUGCCUACAGCCUCCUGAAGUAGCUUGCUGUAUGAUCCAGCAGAGGGGGCUCUCACCAUAACCUGGCUACAUUAUGCAUUCUCAGAAAACGAAUACAAUAAUCCUAUUCUUCACAAAUAGGGGGAUAUGAUCGAACAAAUCCACACUGAAAAUAAAAUACCUGAGAGUGUGGGAAAGGCCAGAACAGCUGGAUCUGCAUCACUGCAGGAUGUUACAGGCUUAUAAAGUAAAUACUGUCCAGUAAAAGUGUUUACUGUAAUUAUUCUCAUAAACUGAGGAAGUCUGCACCCAAGUUUACACGUUGUGAGAGAAGCUGAAGCUGAACAGUUUCUGCUGGGAGAUGAGUGACAACUGCUGUUUUUCUGGCAAUUACUCUCAAAGAGUCACUCAUUCUUAUUCAACUCUUGAAUGUCACCUGGAGGGCUCCAGCACUCAACUAAAUUAAAGGUGUAAACACAAUUUAAUAGCCAAUCAGUAGGUUACAAUGAGCAGCAGCACUGAGUUAACUACACAUUUCUGUGAAAUAGGAAAUGUGUUGCCUUUGUGAAAAAAGGAUAAAAUGUCCUCAGUAAGGUUGUCCAUUUUUUAAAACUCCUAGUCCUCCACCACAAACUUUUUUGUAUGCUGCAAGACACUUUGGUCAGAGUUGUCAAAAAAACAUCUGCACAUGGUGUGACCGAAGGGGCUCGACCUGUCAAUGCCCCAUACCGCACUUCGAUGCUGAAAAUAUAUUUAUUGCUUUUUUGUAGUUAAUCCAGGGUCAGCUGAGAAUGCUCUUUAUUUUAAAAUAAUCUCUGACAGAUGAAGAGUAGCAUUGUCAUCCUCACUGUCAUUACCCACAUUUAGAGGUGUUUAAGACAAAAAGCAAAUACAAAACCUCCAGAGGAUCAAUUGACAUAAUGAGGUAUAUGUAUGAGUCAGUUUGUAUCUGUGCUGCAAUCAUAAUAAUUAUAAUUAUGAUAAAGAAUAACAACUUAAUUUUUUAUAGUCUUAAAAAAAACCCAGUAAGGACUAUUGAUGUUUUUUCAACAGUACUGAUGUGGAUUUUUACAGAGCAGGUCAAACGAUCUAAUGCUGAAAUCACAUUCUUGAUUUUUGUAUUUUGUAAGUUAUACCAACUUCAACACUUUUCUGUGCACAUUAAAUCAAGAAUAUAUCCUGGUUAAAAAGUGUUUCCAAUAUAUUUUGAAUCCAUUCAUGAAAUAAAGGAAUAAUGAAUGGGGCCAUGCCAUAAUAGAUGUCAGAAUAUGACUGAUUUACGUCAGGGGUGUUGAUUAAAUCAAUUAUUCUACACUUGCAAGUGAGCUUAUUACCCUGAGCCCUAUGCCACAUAAAGUUGGCCACAAUGGAAAUACUGUCUAUUCUUCUGCAAGUACAAAGUCAGUCAAACUUUUGCAUUAGGUGGUGAGUCUUUGAUAUGUGAAACAACAUUAAACUGUCAUUUUGCAAAAAUAUCUCAAACACAAAACUAAUUCCUCUUUAACAGGUGACCAGAAUUCCACCUCAAACAGAGCAGCAGUCAUGACAACUAAAAAUCUCACUUUGAUGGACUCCUUUCCUUCAAAGAGAGAAAUCAAACCUCAUUUUUGACAAAUGUACCUGGAUGGCGGUCAUAAAAUGAUCAACCAAAAUAGAACAACAAAGCAUUACUAACCCCCAAAAUCUUCUUAAAAAAAAAAACUUACCAUGCAUUAUGUAAAAAUAUAAAAGAUUUUUUUUUCUGCACACAGCAGUUUAAUGAAUAAAAAAUAAUCACAUACAUAUUUAUCUCAUCCACUGACAGUCGAUGAUAGAGGAGGUACCCAUUAGUUUCCAGAGAAGUGUUUUAAAGUGAAAAAAAAAAACGGGGUUACCAAAUUGAAAACACCUACCUAACCUUGUUUUUGAUCAAUGGACCCACAGGCAAAGAGGGGGAGUUAAGUUCAUUUUUAUUAUUUCAGACAGAUUCCAUAAUCUAAUCCUUAAAUACCUAUAAUUUUACUCCAAGGCAUACUUACAGCUUCAGGAUGGCAACGAGCAAUAUUCAAGAAACAUUAUUUAGAUGGGAUGACCCUGAUGCAUUAUUCAUGGCUUCAUAUACCUCUCAGUGGUUUUCAUCUGCGUAGUUAAUUAUAUCAGGAUCUCCCUCAAGCUUUUGAUGGAUCUACACUUUUUUUCUGUUCUGCUCAGAAACUCGUACAUGUAUCAAAUGACAGACAAUGCUCAUGGGAAUAAGUCCAGCUCACUGUCAUAAAGUAGAUGGAUGACGACAAGAUUAGCCUUUAACAUAUGGCGGUAUGUUAUUAAGUUGUUGGUUACUGCCCCAAGGUUUUUUUUUUCCGCCAAAAGUCGCUGUAACUAAAAAAUUCCAACAAAGAGGAGUCGUCAUUGAACUGAGCGCAGCAUUAGUUCAGGCAGGACACAAACAUGAGGCUCAGCUGAUUUUAAGGCCAGCUCAUAACAGCUGAACCUCAGCUAGUGAACUCUCUGGAAUCCAGUUUGCAAAUGUCAAAAUGUCUGUUCAAUUCAAACGGCUUGAGUCUGCCUUCUCAUGCUGUGUCCUUCACAACUGCUUUGCAACCCACCUCUAUCCAGCUCCUCCUUUUAUGCUGUGUCUGAUCUCAACGGUGUCAUGAGUAUUUUCACUGAUGUCUGUUUUUUUGCGGCUGCUGCUGCUCUCCCUUCCUUGACUUUUCAUGUAUGCACAGGAAUCAGUGGGGAUGUGUGCUUUCUCUACUGCAGGCCCUAACCCUACUCUUUCACUAGUCCUCAGAGAGGAGUUGUACUACAAUUUUUCAUGAAAGAAUGGACCUAAGUUUCUUGAAAAUUAAAAAAACCCAUAAAAUUAUCUGUCAUCACAAUAUUUAUAUCGAAGUAAGUUUAUGUAUGUUUACUUGUAAAAUUGAGGCAAUAACUGUCAUAUGCUAUGUGUGACAGUUGUUUGUUUCAUCCCUUGUGAAUCUAUUUGAAAGACCAAGCUGGUGCAUUUGAAUAACUUUUUAUGGUUUAUGUGUUAUUUUCUAUCUUUUCCCACAAACCUGGACUUACAGGAUAUUACAUCCAAACUUAAACUGCCUGGCAUUACUCGCAGGAUCAUAAAGAAUAACCACUGAUGACAUAAACUGAAGCUUCAUUAUGGCAAUGUUGCACAAAAAUAAGUCAAUCAAAAGUCUCCCAGCCUUUAUUUUCUGGGUUGGUUCAGGGAGAUGCUGUCUGUCUAUGAUGAGGUUUCUGCUUGUUAGAGGUGUCAUAGUGGAUUAAAUUGGGUCUUUGUCAUUAUUGAUACAAACAUGAGGUCUAGACUUGGCUAGUGUCAAGAAAAACAUAAUUUUAUUUGAUUAUUUAAAUGGAUCAUAAAAAAUUAAUGACCAGUUGCAAAGAACAAACCUUUGUAGCUUGUUGAUAAAAAAAAUCUCACAGAAAUUCUCUCCAAACAACACUUUGAUUACUUUCUCAUAUCUUACAGAUAAAUCCAUGAUAUAAUUUUUUCAGCCAAUAAAGCUAAGGCAGCAGUAAUACUGCAGCGACUGUACAUGAUGAAUGAAGCCAACAGAAGCAUUGGAAGCAUUACAGCGAUUCAGUGAAAGUAAAGCAGAGAACAACCUGAAUAUCUGUCUCUAGCUUUUGCAUGCUGUGCCUAAAGGGGCCUCUACUGGGUGGCAUAAUUUUGCAUCAGUCAUAUUCAUAGACCAUCAUAUCUCUCUGGGAGAAAAAUGAGAGUCCAUAGAGAAUAUUGAAAGCCUCCUCCCUCCCUACUAAAACAUCUACAUCUUGGACUAUUAAAUGCCUUCAGCGCUGGAGAAGAUAAACUUUUCUUACUCAGGAUAAAAUGGUCCCAUUGCUGAGUAUGCAGUUAGAAAUAUGACUGCUUUGGGUAAAAUAGCAUCAGAAAGGAAUCCCGGUCUUGAGCCCCCCCCAACACACAUACACCAGUGGGUCUAUGAUUAAAGUAUUUAUUAAAAAUAAAGCUGAAUAAACAUGAAGAAAUUGAUCUGAUCAAAAAUAAACAGAAAAAAUCUAAACAGUCGCAAAAACAUGAUGUUUAAAUGAUGUUUAUGUCAAGAAUCAGUAAAUUCGCAGAGAUUGAUUGGUGGAUUUUUGUGUUUUUUUCCUGAUUGGCUGGAUUAGAAAUCAUAAACAACACUUUGAGUUUCUGUGAGUUUAGAUCUAUCCAUUGAAACACGAUCUUUCACCAUGACAAACAGGAUAAAAAACUGCAGAAUAGGUUGGUGUACGGUCGGAUUUUGCUUGUUGGCUUUUGUUUGUCGAAGGAAUUACUUUAGUCGAGUGGUAUUUUGCUAUACAUUUAAGAUAGAUAGUUGGAUAGACAGCAAAAGAGGCAGCCUGCAUCAGCCCCAAUGUUAUCCUGAUCCAUCUGCAACUAUCUAUGAUUCAGCUUUAAUCCAUGGCUUUAAAUGGACAUAUCAAUGCAGUGGCCAAACGUACAGAAUGUCGUCUUUAUACUCUGACUCUUUCCACUCCUCAGGUUUCUAUGCAAUUCUAAAUAAACGCAACUCACAAAACAUGUAGUCUUGGUUGGGAGAACUGUACCACCAAGUGCUGUCUACUUAGCUGAUGAUUGUGUAGUUUUAACACUAUAUGGUGGGGUGGAUUUCUUCUUUAAAAUUACAAACAAUUCCCUUUGUAAUACAUGGUGAUCUCUAAUCAUGGAGAUAGUUGAGGUGCAGAUUAUUUGACAAUACCUGGCCGCAGGAGUUUUCUUGUCCUUAAGAGUAAAGCUGGUGCCACUCCUCGGACAGGGUCUGAUAUUCAGGGAGGGAUUGAGGGUAUUCUUCACCACAAAAUUCCUGCAAGGUUGGCCCCCAUAAGGCAGCACAUGUUUAAAUAUUUAUUUUUAGCAGUGAACCUGUGAGACACUCAGAGAAUGUUUGCGCAGCUGUGCACAGGAAGGACCAGCUGAAGAUGCCGCAUGAGUCUAGAUAACUUCUGCUUUAGCUUGCUCUCUCUCUCCCAUUCACACAUGAGUGCAGGUGUGCAGUAAAUAGGGGAAAUUGUUGUGUAGCAUCCACAAGCCAAAGCUAUUGUGCUUGUGCUACACAACCAACACUAGUGUGAGCUAGCAGUGGCACACACUCAGGCCACCAGAAACACAACACAGUUCUGAGUAGUUUGAUUAGCAUAAGCUAAUUACUAUACGUCUGCCAACUUAAUUAUUGCUGUAGCUCCACAGAGUAAAGUGCCGUAGAUAAGGGUUGAUUGAUAUUGUUUUUCCAGGGCAGAUACUGAUUCCUGGUUAUUAGUCGGUCAUGAAAUAAGACCCAGAGAGCCAGAUACAGCAGCAGCAGAGCCAAAGUAGUACACUUUUUAAUUAAUAAUUUCAUAGGCCACCUGUAACAUAAGAACCUGAUACAGAUGAUGAAUGUCACCCCGAUAACUGGUCAAAGCUAAUAAUCGGUCCAGCCAUGGCCAGGAAAUAGACUUUGUUUCAGAAUGAUCCAGUGAUAGCUGUUAGCCCCUCCCCCCCAAAAAGAAGGGUGUGUUUGAUUUAUUGUUCUCAGCCUUUAUUUGUUUGUUAUUUUCACCAGGAUAAGAUAUCAAUUUGUUUGUUAGGUUUUACAGUAAAGAUUGUUUGGGGCCGCAGCAGCUCAGGAGGUAAAGUCGUCGGCCAAUAACUGGAAGGUUGGCGGUUUGAUCCCCCCCUAUCCCUAUAGUCUGUCCUUUGUGUCCUUGGGCAAGACACUUAACUCACCUUACUCGCAGUGUGUGUCCUUCACUGGUGUAUGACUGUGAGUGUUGUGUGGCGGUGGUCGCAGAGGCUGUAGGUGCAAACUGGCAGCCACGUUUCCAUCAGUCUGCCCCAGGGCAGCUGUGACUACUAAGGUAGUUUACCACCAUCAGGGUGUGACUGUGUGAGUGAAUGAAUGAUGUAUCCAAUGUAAAGUGCUUUGAGGUCACUGAUAAAAAGUGCUAUAAAAAUCUGAUUCAUUAUUUAUUAUUAUUAUUAUUAUUGUUGUUAUGUUGUAUGACAGAACAAAUAUGUUAUAUAUCCAAAUGCACUUCCAGAUACUACUGAUGACAAAGACACUGAUGUCAGUCAUGUCAAUCAGACAUUAGAAAUAUAUAAAAGAUGAAACAGUGAAAAGACAAGCUCAGAAAUAACGUUUUAGUUUUAGAUCCAGACAAUCUUUGACUUAAAAAAAAAAAAGAGAAACAUUGCAGAACCCCCAAACUUUUCCCCCCAUGAAUCUUUUCUGUGCAAACAAAAGCCUCCUGUGCUGUUAAAUCCUCAGUGAAACACCGACAGGCACUAGAACAGCUAAAGAAAAAGUCAAUUUUAUGGUGGUCCAUUUUGGAAUGAUUAAGUAUAGUGAUAAAAUUCCCAAAAUUAAAAAAAAAAAAAAGAAAUCCCCCCUAUGUGAGGAAUCUUCUGUUUGCAAAUCUGGCCCUACCAAUCUCUCACACUAGAUGGCAGUAAAACAUAAUUCUUCAGCUGCUACAUGAAGCUCUGACAGUGUUCAACAUGUCCACACACGAUGGGAACUCCAGGUGGUGGAAGCUUGUUUCGAGCGAAUAUGCACGUCUCUUUGUUGGAGACAUUGUGCUAAAAACAGAUCAUAAAUGCAUGCUCACUCGCUCCAGCGCACCUUUCAUUCUGACACUGCUGCAGCCCAAGGGCUCUGGAGUUGGGCUUGAUGAGAGGAGAAAAAAGCCUGGAGCUCGAAACAUUAUCAAUAUUAAAGUGAAUUUCAGUGCAGAAGAGCACGCUGCUUCUGUUUACUUUUGUUGGCCUAUAUUGCAGAGUAUUAGUUGAAUGUAUUGUUUGCUUUUGGCUGCCUAGAAUUAGUGGAGAGGUUUUAAAAUAAUUGGAUCAAAAAAUACAAGGGCAUCGUGUACAGCCUCUCCCUACAGGAACUUUGUUUUUUUCUGUCUUAUAAGAGGACUGCUUGAACGCAGCAGCAACUUAAACUCUUCCCCCUUAAAUUUGUCAACACAGACAGGCAGUAGAUUCACACCACCCACUUUUAAACUCUCACUGCUGGUUAUUGAGUCUACGGCUGAGAGUCAGUACAUCAUUACUAAAUCACUGAUUACAGGCGUAAAGCGGUACAAAUGAGGAGGUUGCCCUCGAUGCUUAAUUGGUAGGAUGUAAUAACGGAACAGUGAUAUGUGGGCCCUUAAUUGUGUGUUUACUGCACUAUUUAUUGGAGAGCGUCACUCCCCUGGCUGGUCGCUGAUGAGGUGAGCCGUGUUUCCGCUGGCGUGCCAUCAAUCCUGCUUCAUUAAGGACACACAGGAUAGGAAGUGAGAGGAACACAGAGUUUGCCUUCCAGCUCGACGACGUGGGCAGAGGAGUCGGGCCUGUUAAUGAAUUUUAAAUUCUCACUGAUGGGAGAUGGAUACAGGAAAGCAUCAUGACAAAGGAGAUUGUAAUUUUUUAUCGGAUGUAUUGUUUUUUGUAAGGAUAUGAAUUAAUUGAGGAUAUGAAUGAUAUUGAUACAAACCAUCUUCCUGGAAGUUGGAUGAUUUAUUAAAGGCAUGGUUGUUGAUCUGAGAAACAGUUGAAAAAAACUGAGCUGUUGAGGCUGAUUUGAAAAAAGCGUCCCACCCCCCACACACAAACCUCUCCCCUCUGUGCUCCACGAUAACUCCCCCCAAACCUGUAUCGCCCUCCCCCUUAUAUACCCCCUCAGGCAGAGCAAGAAGCCGGCCAGCAGAAGAUCCUACGCUAGCUUUGAAUAGGAUUCACCAUGUCUGAUUGCUCGUGACUAGCGGCAGUAAACGCCAGCUCUGCUAGCUAGCACUGUCCGCAGCUGCCUGGACAACUACCAUGUUGACAUUGCAGAGACUAACAAGAGUAAAAUGCAAAAAUUACCUGUUCAACAAAAACUCUGCUGUGGUGGGGCAAGUAGAAGUGGUUUUUUUUGUUCUCCAUCACAGCUCCUGUAGCUAAGCUGCUACGCUAGUUUUAGCCGCUCAGAGCGCGGAGGAGGGCCAGGAGAGUUGGAGGGGAUGAGUUGGAACUAUGGGAGAGGGGUGUGUCGAAUACAGCGAGGUGAUUGGAUGAAGAGGCGGAGCAGGAGGUUAACCAAUAUGAGCUGUCCGGGACGGAUGGCCCCUAUUGGUCAAUGUUUUUGCAGCCCUGCACCUGCUUGGGUAAACUGAUUUUUUCCAUUCGUUUUUCUCUACACUUUGUGGAGAUCACGCUAUAGGACCAUGAUCGCCAUAUAAAAGAGGUUCAUAUUAACUACCAAUUUCUCAAAUCGUCAACCAUUCCUCUAAGAUCUUGUUUGUGUGUGCACAUGCUUUUGAAGGUUUGUGGAUGUGGGUUAGGCUAUUGCCAGCAGUAGAAAAUGCUCAUAUCCAUCCUCUUAUUUCAACAGAAGACAAGUACUUUCCUUGGUUAUUAUAUGUUGGAGCACGUUUUAAUACACAAGGUCAUGCCAUAAAAUUCCCCUUCUUCUCAUAAAACUCAAAAGAAUCUGUCACGUGGACCAUAUGCACUUUUCCUCCUUCUGCUCCAAUGCAGGUAUGAAGGCUUGAGUGAGAGUAGUCUUUCAUCUUUGACCAAUCACAUGAAUUCAGUCAUGAUCAUUAUUUCCACAACAGCAAAAAUCUAAACUAAGUAAAGGCUGAUGGACAGAAUGUUUUAAGCUAAUGGUACAACACUAACAUUCAUCUUGUCAAGUUUUAUGAAAAACUUCUCAAAGGAGCUUUUUUCUGAAUGUUUCCAGCUGCUCAGUAGAUCCAGUGUGGUUGCAGUUUCUGUUGAACUCGUCUGCCUGUUGUGGAAAUGCUCGUGUUGUUGCUACAAAUCAACAAACUCACUUUCUGAUGGCCUACUAACCUUAUGCUUCGUGUUAUCAUUGGCCAUGUUUGUUGGGCCUUUGUCUUCAGUCACUUGCUUCCUGAUUGGCUAUCAUCGAAGCAGAGCAGUUGGGUUGGUAUGGAUUUUUGUAUUUAAAGGUUGAUUUUUCUCACUUUUGUUGUUAUGGAAAUAGUCUUUUUUUUUUCACUCUUUAAAGUCCAUUUUAUUGAAAAUGGACUUUGAAAAGUAAUGGUAUACUCAUGUUAUCUUCCAAUACCCCAGACUUUUUUUUAAUGACAUGGCUCCCUCAUUAGUAUUUUUAUAACACUACAGCCCCCCUUUUGGGAAAACUUCUUAGCUGACAGUGACGGAUCACUUAAGUAUUGACAUUUAAGCUCAUAUCUUCAUCAACUUUUCAUCAGAGAUGCUGUAGAGAAAUCAUAAAUUAUGGAAAUGUAAUCAACUGAGUGGUGAUUUUAUGGGUGUCAGAGAGUUUUUACAUCCGUGUACAGUUGUAACUGAUCAGAUGGUUUGUGCCAAGACUGGCUGUGAUGCCUGGCAGAGACAGCAGGGUGCCGCUGAGGCUGCAGCUGAGGAUCGCACUGUGCUGCACACUGCCACACGUUGUGUGCUGUGAAGGUUGAAGUCAAUUAUAAAUCCAUUUGGGUUCUUAAUACUGUGUUAGAGUCAGAAUUUGCUGUUUCUCUGGAUUUACAUUAAGUAGGUACAAUUAUUACUUGUCUAAUUGGCCCAUUUUAAACAAAUAAACAGAUGAGAGCAAUUAGCUGUGACGAAAUGCAAUAUUUAAUACUUGUUUGUGUUUAGAUUCCAGUAUACAAAGUGUAUGUACAGUUUAUAUGCACCAAUUAAACAUCUUCAAUGGCACAAUCAUUAACCUGACCUCCUCAAUGCUAGCUAUUUCACUGUUUUAAUGCACUCAAGAGCCACGUAAAGAUGAUUGAACAUACACCUGUGGCAAAAAACUCCUAACUAACAAACAUUACUGGUGUGAACCCCUGAAAAACACGUACUGAUUGCACCCUAAUUGUCAUGUCUGCUCUGAUAACACUUUUGCUUUCAUAUCUGGUUUCUACGUGUAGCCAUCACACAUUUUUGAAUUUACUAGUCUUAGAGAGGAGGCGAAGUUCCCCGCAUGGGAAAUCUACCCCGAGCUUGCAUAAAGCAAGGCCAAUCAAAAUAAAUUGGGAAGGUUCCUGUCACAUCAAGUGCAGCUGCUCCACAGUCAUGUUUUCGUUUCUGACCUCCCUGCCGAAAGAUGAAAAAGGACUUUAUGCAGGACUUCCCCCGUCUAAAGUGCCCCUGCAUCUCUUUUAAACACUGAUGUACCCAAAUAGAGUUUGAUAUGAAAGAAAAUACAUCCACAAAUAUAUAGAAAUGCAAAAGACAUCUUGGUUGUAGUAGGAAAUGGAUAAGGAACUAAUGGAGAGUAGCUGCAAUUAUAGUAUCUAAGACCUCAUGUUAGAGGUUCUUGAGCUUAACGCCAAUCCUAUGAUCGCAGUACUUACAAAAUUUCUUCACAUGAAAGGUGAAAUAAUUCAUAAAAUAUGCAAAGAAAAUAUCAUGCAUUUCUAUUUGUGUAGUAUCAUGGUUACAGACCGAGAGUCUACAUCAUAUCCAUGUACAUGAAGAAGCAGCGUGUUGCUCUAUGUACACUAAUAAGUCUGAAUGCUUCAUACACCAAAUUAAAACUGUUACCGGAUCAAAUCAAUAAGCCAACUCUGGAUUCAAUUUCUACUGAAUUAAGACAGGAUCAGGACUGUUUUGGUUUAAAAAGAGAUCCUGUUAUCCAGUGACUUUCAGCUAAGUGUGUCACAGUGGUUGUCAUGUUCACAACAGUAGGAUCAGGGCAGCAGUUCUGGUAAAUGGAUUUGAGUUUAUGUUUUUAUCAUACUCACCAAAUGUUGAUGGUUUGCAGGACAUGCAUUCAUCUGAAAGUCUCUGGUUUCCAGUCUAUGGUUACUCUUUACCCUGGCUGUGUCAGCCAGUAAAAUAAGAAGAGGGCUUAGUUGGCUGUGUAUCUGCCAUAUUUGUCUCAUGAGCAUAAAUCAAUAGUGAAGCAUAACUUAUGGACUGCAUUUCAAAACAAAAGCCCAAUCUGUUGCAUUUUCAAAAGAGACUCCAAUUUAUACUUUGUGCCUUUAUUCUGAAGGUUUGUGCAAGUAAAUGAAAUCACUUGUCACGAAUCACAUCAGCAGCAGGUGGGCUGAAUUAUCAAAUAGCAUCAGGUUAUUAUAGGAGAGUUGAUCUUGUGCAGUGUCUUAAAGCCUCUGCCUGUCUGCAGCUUUCUUUGCUCAGUGUGUGUCUUAGUGUUAGUUAAACUGGCACCAGUUUUAGUUAAAUAACAUCAGGUCACAUGGAAUAUAUACUGGACUUUUCCUCUACCUGCCUGUGUGUGUGUGUGUGUGUGUGUGUGUGAGUGUGUUAUACCGUGUACUGUAAUAUUUAUAUGUAAAUUAAGGAUCUGUUUAUUCUUAUAGAAAAAAAAGAUCGUUUUCUAGAAGUUUAACCCCUUCAACUUUUAUUUAUGCUAUGAUAUAAUUUACAGUAGAUCACACAUCUCCUCACUCUCUUCAGUGAAGAUUGAUCCUGAUGAUAUUUAUAAACCUGAGACAUUCUAAAAGUAGAUAGUUUAUGGUCUUAUUUUGGGUCAACUUGUGGGAGAGACAAGGCUGAAAGUCAGUUGAGCUCUUUGUAUGGUAGGCUUUUCCACCUGUGUGGGAAUGUAGAGUGAAUGAGUAAAUUAGAAGUCUUGAGAAAGUGAUAAGCCUGUACAGUCUAUUCACAAUUUAUCAUUUGAAGCAUAGAGUAUAUUGAAAAAAAAAAAAAAACUAGAUCUGUGAAAGAUUUAAUGUCAGGAGUGAAGGCAAUCUACAGUGUCAAAUAAAGGAAUAAUGAAGCGCAAACUGCCCUCUGAGGCUAAGUGUAAAAGCAGCUUCAAAAUGAAAAGUCUAACCAUACUUCUAAAUUAUUUUUAUUUCAAGUGAGAUCAAAUUCUUGGCUUCUGCAGCAUGUGGAAAAAAAUCCAUCAGUAGAGUCAGUCAAGGAAUUAUAAAGAGAAGUCCAAAUGGAAACAGAUGUUUUACACUUACUAAGCCGAACAAAGACCACUAUGCUGCUGUAAAGAAAAGACAAGAAAAGCUGAUGGAAAGAAUACAAUACAUUAACAGAGAAAUGAGCUGUGCGAGUCACUUCCAGUUUGGUGACUUUUCUUCUGUGAAUUCUUAUGUAUCCAGCUUCAGUUCAUCCUGCUGCCUUCAGUCAUUUUUUUUUCAGUCAUUCCCUACCAUUCCUCUUCUCCUCUCCUCUCCUCUCCUCUCCAAGCAGACAUUUCUUUGAUCCUCGGCUCCCACGCCUUAUACCCCCCUCCUCUCUCCAAUCCUCUCAGGGUCUUAUUAACAGACACGCAGUUCUCAUGUUUUAUUGCCUAUGAUAAAACCUCGCCUCUGAUCUCUCAUUACAGGCUGGCUCUUUGGAAAUGGGUCCUGCACCCCUCGGCUUAAUAUUGCCCGUAAUGGGGCAAAAAGCUAAAUGCACAAUCAGAAUGUGUUGGGUACAUAGCAGCCGGGUCCCUGUGCAUUAAUAAGCCAUCAGCUCAUCCUGGGUCUGGCCUGAUUUUGGUCUUGCUGCAGUCUUAACAUGGGAAUGUGGUGGUUUUCACUGGUUAAGUGCGCUGGGAUUUCACACAUGAAGCUUCUGUAAAUACACAUGUAAAACACGAGAUGGCCUUUGUAAC